rnacentral:lncRNA from 1 species
UGAGAUACAUAUAAUUUUAUCAUUAAGUUCUUCCAAUUCAGACUCUUAGAUAUUGGAUACCACCGGCGGUUCUCAUAUCUGCAAAUCGUUGUAGGGGCCGUAGAACAUUAGAGUGCUGAAAAUGGGUGAUUUCGAGCUCUACGGUGCUGGAGGAGAGUCCAUCCAAGCAGAGGCUGUGGGAACAUAUAUGUUAAGGUUACCUUCUGG